rnacentral:rRNA from 1 species
GUGCGCUGGGCUGCGUGCUUACACAUGCAAGUCGAACGCUGAAGCCUGGUGCUUGCACCGGGUGGAUGAGUGGCGAACGGGUGAGUAACACGUGAGUAACCUGCCCCUGACUUCGGGAUAAGCCCGGGAAACUGGGUCUAAUACCGGAUACGACUGCCGGACGCAUGUCUGGUGGUGGAAAGUUUUUUCGGUUGGGGAUGGGCUCGCGGCCUAUCAGUUUGUUGGUGAGGUAAUGGCUCACCAAGACGACGACGGGUAGCCGGCCUGAGAGGGCGACCGGCCACACUGGGACUGAGACACGGCCCAGACUCCUACGGGAGGCAGCAGUGGGGAAUAUUGCACAAUGGGGGAAACCCUGAUGCAGCGACGCAGCGUGCGGGAUGACGGCCUUCGGGUUGUAAACCGCUUUCAGCAGGGAAGAAGCGCAAGUGACGGUACCUGCAGAAGAAGUACCGGCUAACUACGUGCCAGCAGCCGCGGUAAUACGUAGGGUACGAGCGUUGUCCGGAAUUAUUGGGCGUAAAGAGCUCGUAGGUGGUUGGUCACGUCUGCUGUGGAAACGCAACGCUUAACGUUGCGCGUGCAGUGGGUACGGGCUGACUAGAGUGCAGUAGGGGAGUCUGGAAUUUCCUGGUGUAGCGGUGAAAUGCGCAGAUAUCAGGGAGGAACACCGGUGGCGAAGGGCGGGACUCUGGGGCUGUAACUGACACUGAGGAGCGAAAGCAUGGGGAGCGAACAGGAUUAGAUACCCUGGUAGUCCAUGCCGUAAACGUUGGGCACUAGGUGUGGGGGGCAUUCCACGUUCUCCGCGCCGUAGCUAACGCAUUAAGUGCCCCGCCUGGGGAGUACGGUCGCAAGGCUAAAACUCAAAGGAAUUGACGGGGGCCCGCACAAGCGGCGGAGCAUGCGGAUUAAUUCGAUGCAACGCGAAGAACCUUACCAAGGCUUGACAUACACCGGACCGUCCUGGAAACAGGUCCUCUUCUUUGAAGCUGGUGUACAGGUGGUGCAUGGUUGUCGUCAGCUCGUGUCGUGAGAUGUUGGGUUAAGUCCCGCAACGAGCGCAACCCUCGUUCUAUGUUGCCAGCACGUGAUGGUGGGAACUCAUAGGAGACUGCCGGGGUCAACUCGGAGGAAGGUGGGGAUGACGUCAAAUCAUCAUGCCCUUUAUGUCUUGGGCUUCACGCAUGCUACAAUGGCUGGUACAGAGAGAGGCGAACCCGUGAGGGCAAGCGAAUCCCUUAAAGCCAGUCUCAGUUCGGAUCGUAGUCUGCAAUUCGACUACGUGAAGUCGGAGUCGCUAGUAAUCGCAGAUCAGCAACGCUGCGGUGAAUACGUUCCCGGGCCUUGUACACACCGCCCGUCAAGUCACGAAAGUCGGUAACACCCGAAGCCGGUGGCCUAACCGUAAGGAGGGGGCCGUCUAAGGUGCACGGGUAGUG